rnacentral:rRNA from 1 species
GUGAGUCAUCGAGUCUUUGAACGCACCUUGCGCUCCUUGGUAUUCCUUGGAGCAUGCCUGUUUGAGUGUCUUGAAUAUCUCUGCUCCUCAAUUUUUUAACGAAAGUUGGCUUGGAGUCAGGUCCUUGGGCUUGCCUGCGGUUUGUUACGAACACACGCUUGCCUUAAAUGCAUUAGCUGGAUUUCAGUAGAGUUGUUAAGUAACAUUGAAAACUCUCGUAAUAUGAAGUCUGCUUUCUAACUGGAAUUUUAUUCAUUAUAUCUUUGGCCUCAAAUCAGGUAGGACUACCCGCUGAACUUAAGCAUAUCAAUAAGCGGAGG